AUUGAACGCUGGCGGCAUGCUUUACACAUGCAAGUCGAACGGCAGCGCGGGCUUCGGCCUGGCGGCGAGUGGCGAACGGGUGAGUAAUGCAUCGGAACGUGCCCAGUAGUGGGGGAUAGCCCGGCGAAAGCCGGAUUAAUACCGCAUACGACCUGAGGGUGAAAGCGGGGGACCGAAAGGCCUCGCGCUAUUGGAGCGGCCGAUGUCGGAUUAGCUAGUUGGUGGGGUAAAGGCUUACCAAGGCGACGAUCCGUAGCUGGUCUGAGAGGACGACCAGCCACACUGGGACUGAGACACGGCCCAGACUCCUAAGGGAGGCAGCAGUGGGGAAUUUUGGACAAUGGGGGCAACCCUGAUCCAGCCAUGCCGCGUGCGGGAAGAAGGCCUUCGGGUUGUAAACCGCUUUUGUUCGGGAAGAAAUCCUCUGGGCUAAUACCCCAGGGGGAUGACGGUACCGGAAGAAUAAGCACCGGCUAACUACGUG
rnacentral:rRNA from 1 species